AUGGAUCGACAAGAUCCGAAUUCAGAAGAAUACAUCAUCUGUAUUCUGAAGAAUCAUCGUCGUCUCCGUCUGUCCGGCCGGUGCUCUAGCCUGCUCCGGUGGAGGCACCAGAGGCAGCUUGGUGCCGCCUACAGGAGGCAAGGCAGGGCAGCAGCAUCAGGCGGCACGAAGCAUGUGUCCAUGGCAAGCUAA
rnacentral:rRNA from 1 species